rnacentral:lncRNA from 1 species
CAUUCAGUGUCCCAGAGGUUUUUUCAUGCGCACGACCGAGAGCACGCCUUUCUUGUUUUCCUUUUAUAUUGAUGAAGCUUUUGUCCAGUUGAAAUGUUAUUGAUUAUUAUGACUAAAAACAACCUGAGGAUUGAUUAUAAACAUCGUUUGACAUGUUUCUACGAACUUUACUGAUACUUUUCAGAUUUUUCGUCUGUCUGUUGUGACUGCCUUUGAGCCUGUGGAUUACUGAACAAAACGCGCGAACAAAACGGAGGUUUUUGGAUAUAAAGAGGGACUUUAUCGAACAAAACAAACAUUUAUUGAGUAAAUGGGAGUCUUGUGAGAGUAACCAUACGAAGAUCAUCAAAGGAGGGGUGCGUCACUUGAGGGGGUUGAGUCACUGAUGUGAUCUUCCUGUCCGGGUUGCCCCCCCGGGUUGUGCCGUGUUGGAGAUCUUCGUGGGCUAUACUCGGCCUUGUCUCAGGGUGGACCUGAACCCUAGGACCAUGCCUCAGGACUACCUGGCCUGAUGACUCCUUGCUGAUGACUUCCAGUCCACCUGGCCGUGCUGCUGCUCCAGUUUCAACUGUUCUGCCUGCGGCUAUGGAACCCUGACCUGUUCACCGGACGUGCUACCUGUCCCAGACCUGCUGUUUUCAACUCUCUAGAGUCAGCAGGAGCGGUAGAGAUACUCUCAAUGAUCGGCUAUGAAAAGCCAACUGACAUUUACUCCUGAG